rnacentral:lncRNA from 1 species
UCAUAGGGUUUUGGGAAGACUGAGGCAAUCGUUGCUAAAGUCAGUGUUGUAAUGGUGAAUCGGGAUUUUUAAUGAAGUGGGUUUGAUUACUCUUGACUGUUUUGUGAAAUCGAGUUACGUCUGUGAUGAAGAGUUAAAAGGAUAUCUAUAGGAUUGAGUAUGCGGAGUGAAUGAAAUUUAUUGGGUUAAUCUAACAAGACAGUCAGUGGAUACAAGAUCGUGAGUAUAAAGCGGUAUCAAAGAUUAG